AUUGAACGCUGGCGGCAUGCCUUACACAUGCAAGUCGAACGGCAGCACGGAGCUUGCUCUGGUGGCGAGUGGCGAACGGGUGAGUAAUAUAUCGGAACGUACCCAAGAGUGGGGGAUAACGUAGCGAAAGUUACGCUAAUACCGCAUACGAUCUAAGGAUGAAAGUGGGGGCUCGCAAGACCUCAUGCUCCUGGAGCGGCCGAUAUCUGAUUAGCGAGUUGGUGAGGUAAAGGCUCACCAAGGCAGCGAUCAGUAGCUGGUCUGAGAGGACGACCAGCCACACUGGAACUGAGACACGGUCCAGACUCCUACGGGAGGCAGCAGUGGGGAAUUUUGGACAAUGGGGGCAACCCUGAUCCAGCAAUGCCGCGUGAGUGAAGAAGGCCUUCGGGUUGUAAAGCUCUUUUGUCAGGGAAGAAACGGUGAAGGCUAAUAUCCUUUGCUAAUGACGGUACCUGAAGAAUAAGCACCGGCUAACUACGUGCCAGCCGCCGCGGUAAGAC
rnacentral:rRNA from 1 species